rnacentral:rRNA from 1 species
AUUGAACGCUGGCGGCAGGCCUAACACAUGCAAGUCGAGCGGUAGCACAGAGAGCUUGCUCUCGGGUGACGAGCGGCGGACGGGUGAGUAAUGUCUGGGAAACUGCCUGAUGGAGGGGGAUAACUACUGGAAACGGUAGCUAAUACCGCAUAACGUCGCAAGACCAAAGUGGGGGACCUUCGGGCCUCAUGCCAUCAGAUGUGCCCAGAUGGGAUUAGCUAGUAGGUGGGGUAAUGGCUCACCUAGGCGACGAUCCCUAGCUGGUCUGAGAGGAUGACCAGCCACACUGGAACUGGGACACGGUCCAGACUCCUACGGGAGGCAGCAGUGGGGAAUAUUGCACAAUGGGCGCAAGCCUGAUGCAGCCAUGCCGCGUGUGUGAAGAAGGCCUUCGGGUUGUAAAGCACUUUCAGCGGGGAGGAAGGCGGUGAGGUUAAUAACCUCAUCGAUUGACGUUACCCGCAGAAGAAGCACCGGCUAACUCCGUGCCAGCAGCCGCGGUAAUACGGAGGGUGCAAGCGUUAAUCGGAAUUACUGGGCGUAAAGCGCACGCAGGCGGUCUGUCAAGUCGGAUGUGAAAUCCCCGGGCUCAACCUGGGAACUGCAUUCGAAACUGGCAGGCUAGAGUCUUGUAGAGGGGGGUAGAAUUCCAGGUGUAGCGGUGAAAUGCGUAGAGAUCUGGAGGAAUACCGGUGGCGAAGGCGGCCCCCUGGACAAAGACUGACGCUCAGGUGCGAAAGCGUGGGGAGCAAACAGGAUUAGAUACCCUGGUAGUCCACGCCGUAAACGAUGUCGAUUUGGAGGUUGUGCCCUUGAGGCGUGGCUUCCGGAGCUAACGCGUUAAAUCGACCGCCUGGGGAGUACGGCCGCAAGGUUAAAACUCAAAUGAAUUGACGGGGGCCCGCACAAGCGGUGGAGCAUGUGGUUUAAUUCGAUGCAACGCGAAGAACCUUACCUGGUCUUGACAUCCACAGAACUUUCCAGAGAUGGAUUGGUGCCUUCGGGAACUGUGAGACAGGUGCUGCAUGGCUGUCGUCAGCUCGUGUUGUGAAAUGUUGGGUUAAGUCCCGCAACGAGCGCAACCCUUAUCCUUUGUUGCCAGCGGUCCGGCCGGGAACUCAAAGGAGACUGCCAGUGAUAAACUGGAGGAAGGUGGGGAUGACGUCAAGUCAUCAUGGCCCUUACGACCAGGGCUACACACGUGCUACAAUGGCAUAUACAAAGAGAAGCGACCUCGCGAGAGCAAGCGGACCUCAUAAAGUAUGUCGUAGUCCGGAUUGGAGUCUGCAACUCGACUCCAUGAAGUCGGAAUCGCUAGUAAUCGUAGAUCAGAAUGCUACGGUGAAUACGUUCCCGGGCCU